CUUUGCGCCACCGGAAGCCUCGUUCCCUCAGAUUUCCCCCUCCCUCCCGGACCGACUUCCGGGUGUGGCUGCCGCCCUUCCCCCACCCACGCCGGUUGGAGCCUCCCGUUCGCGCUGCCAGCAGCUUCCGCCUGCUGCGGUCCUGGCAAGCACCUCGGGAUCUCAUUCCUUCACAGGGGCCCUAGCCGGGCAAGCGCGCGCCUCACUGUACCGGAGAGCUCCAAGCACGCGCUUGGUCUGGGGUCCGGACGCUAGAUCUCGGAAGGGGUGGGUGGCUGGGCAGAUGAGCGAGGAAGGAUCGUCUCUACCCUCUCUCAAGUAGCUGAGGCCUCCGAACCCUUCCCUAGCUGGAUUUGGGGACAGAGGAGCGCUGGUAUUGAUAAAAUAACUCUCUUUGCUAUUCCUUUAGGAGCCCAAAUGAGGAUUGAAAGUGAGAAGAAUGGGGACCUGGGCUUGGGAGUGGGAGGUGGGGAAAGCAGAACCCCGUGUGCCUGUUUCUGCGUCGUCUGGAGAAAAAGCUUUUGAAGAUGUCUGAUAGACCCUAUUCGGUUCAAAGCUCUCUAAAGUCCUCCACCUUUUUUUUUUUUUUUUAAACUUCAUGGAAAAUGAAACAUUUCAGAGAAGUUACUUGCCUAGAGGCAACUAAGUCGCCUAAUGGCUAAGUAGGAAAGUAGAAGUCAGUUCCAACGUAGUGGAAAUGGAGUGGAAAUGCAUGGCAUACAAUGAGCUAUAUUAGAAGGUUCCCAUUUAGACAGUUUUCAUGGUGUAUUCCAUGUUGGCUUCUACAGGGGAAAAAAUGUGUUAGAGCAUCUUAAGCAACUGUUUUUGCUUCUUUCCAUAGUGACUAGUAAUAUCAACAGGUGUCAAGGUCUAAACAGAAAUUGCAUUAAAAAAAAAAGUGUGUCAGCCGGGCGCUAUGGCUCAUCAUACCUGUAAACCCAACACUUUGGGAGGCUGAGGCAGGGGGAUUACAUGAGCCCAGGAGUUCAAGACCCGCCUGGGCAACAUAGUGAGACCCGUCCCUACAAAAAAAAAAAAAUAUAUAUAUAUAUAUAUUCCAACAUCCCACUGUUUAUAGUAUAGCCUCUUCUUCUAUAUGACAGUAUGAAACACUUACGGGUUUUUUUUUUCACCAGGCUUGGUGGCAGGCACCCGUAGUCCCGGCUACUCUGGAGGGUGAGGCGGGAGGAUCAAUUGAGCCGGGGGUCAAGGCUGCAGUGAGCUGCGAUUGUGCCACUGCACUUCCAGCCUGGGUGACAGGGCAAGAUUCUUUGUCUCAAAAAAGAUAAAAAAAAAAAAAAAAAGACAAAAAACUGAGUCUGUCAUACUGUCAUGUGGAAGAAGAGGCUAUACUAUAAAUAGUGGGAUGUUGGAAUUUCUAAAAACUAAACAAGACACCGUUGAAAUCCAUUUUGUCACUUUGGUUCAUCAGUUUCAUUACCCUUGAUACAUAUGAUGGCAACUGGCUUAUUGACAAUGUUUUCUUAAAACGUUCUGUCUGAGCCCUAUAUGCUGCUCUCAAGAAGACAUUAGAGUUUAUUAUGCUAUUUUUUCAUUUAGCAUUUUCUCCAGGACAACUUACUGGUUCUUUAAUUUCUGAAGUGUAGACAUUUGUUUUUCAGUGCUACUAAAUUUAGUCAAAACAAAAUUUCUUUAAUUAAAAACAGUAUUUUAAUUAAAUUUUUUUCAGACUGGGCAUGGUGGCUCAUGCUUGUAAUACCAGCACUUUUGAGAGGCCAAGGUGGGCGGAUCACUUAAGCUCAGGAGUUCGAGACCAGCCUGGCCAACAUGGCGAACCCUCACCUCAUCUAAAAAUACAAAAAUUAGCUGGGUGUGGUGGUGGGCACCUGUAAUCCCAGUUACUUGGGAGGCUGAGGCAGGAGAAUCGCUUGAACCCUGGAGGCAAAGGUUGUAGUGAGCCAAGAUUGUACCACUACACUCCAGCCUGGGAGACAGAGCAAGACUCUAUCUCAAAAAAAAAAAAAAAAAACAAACUUUAUGAAGUGGUGGGUUGUUUUUUUUUUUUUUUGUCAGUUUACUGUUGAUUUAAAGAUUUAUUAUGGUGCCUAAAUUUAUCUUGACCUUGACAAGUUUAUCAAUCUGAAAAAGCUGGCUGGCAAAAAAUGUCCCGAAUUGUCACAGUGUCACUGACCCAUAUCUUGUCUCUCCUGAAAAAACUAUAAUAACUUUGCUUUUUCAUGUAACAUUUAUGUUCUUUAUAGACUUAUGCUAAAUAGAUGAGUAGAGCACACAUUAUUUCAGUAAUAGUUUAUUGCUACAGGCUUCUGUGGUAGCAUAAACAGAAUUGAAUGUGUAGUAAAGAGUUGUAGGUUCCAGUCCCAGCUUUUUUUUUACUUAGACAAGUCACUCUCCAAGCCUCAUUUUCUUCAGUUCAGAUAUAGAAAUAUUAUGUAACACACAGGAUUCAAAAUCAAAUGAGAGUUGUGUGAAAGUACUUUUUAUAGUAUGAAGUGUUAUAUAAUGUUAGUGUCUAUUAUCAUCUUUAUCAGGCUUGGUCAGUCUUCAACUAGUAAUGAACCGUGUAACUAGUUUAUUACAUAUGUGGCUGAGAGAAAUUUAAUUGGAUAUAAAUACCAGUGUGAUAUGUCAUAAAAUAUGCUAAUCUGUAGCCCAUAUUUAAAUAGUUAUUUAUAGUACACUAUAUGUAUCUGUAUUAUAAAUAGGCUUUUAAGGACAAAGAGAACAUCUCCUUAUUAAGCUUUAAGAGUUUCAGAGAGAAAGCAUAUAUAUGAAACAUUUUUUUUUUCAUGUUGUCUAGGUGUGGUGGUGCACACCUGUGAUCCUAGCUACUUGGGAGGCUGAGGUGGGGGGAUCACUUGAGCCCAGGAGGUUGAGGCUGCAGUGAGCCAUGAUCACGCUACUACACUCCAGCCUAGGUGACAGAGUGAGACCCUGUCUCAAGAAAAGGAAAAAAAAAAGUUUAGCCUCAGGGUAGGGUUAGGGGAGUGUCACUGUCAAAAACAGUGGAGUUGAAAGAGAGCUGUUUAGAGAAGAUGUGCUUGCUUUUGCACAUGUUUGGGCAGGCAUUUAUAGAAGUGGUGUCCUAUAGAAAGCAGAAAGAGAAGACAGCAUCUGAUUUCUACAUUCAUUCAAUAACUGUCUAGUGUCCUGACUAUGAUGUGGGAGAAAUAAAGAUGAAUAUAACUCCUACCUUGUUCUUGAAGACCCUAUAAUCUGGUGGGAGAAGCAGAAUAUAAACCAGAUUGAAAUAAAUACUGUGAUAAAAUAUACAGGCUAAGAAUGCAUGGGAAGAAGUGAUUAACACACUAGUUGUGAAGUACAAAGGGUUUUAUGGAGGACUGGAUAUUUUAACUGCACCUUGAAGAUUGAGUACAAUUUUGAUAGAGAAGGAAAGAGCAUGUAGCUGAAGAAAAAACACAAAAGUACAUUGUAUGGCUUGGAGAAAUAAAGUAGUCUAGAGUGGCUCUAUUAGUAAGGUUUGUAAAGAGGUGUAGUGGUAUAUGAUGCAGGAAAAGUAGGUUAGGGCAAAAAGAAAACAGAUCAGUGCCUGAUAUGAAUUAUACACUGGGCCGAAAGUUUUCAUAUUUGCUAUUUCAUUUAAUUUCCAUAUAGCCAUGCAAAAUAGGUGUUUUGACAUGGGGGGAAAACAGUCUCAGAGAGUUUUACUAAUUUGUUCAAAGUCUCACAGAUAAUAAGUAAUGGAGCUCAAAUUUCAAACCAGGUUGUUAUUUAACUCCAAAGCUGAAGCUAUUUGUAAUUUGGUAACUAUCUCUAAAUUAAAAAAAAAAAGGAAAAAAGGUUAUAUUCAUUAUAGGACUUUAAAAAUAUAAAGCACUUUCACAUGUAUUUGGUCUUUAUAACUAGUCAUUAAUCCCAAUUGAUGGAUGGGAAAAUUGAAGCCCAGUGAGAUUAUUCAAGGUCACAGAGUGAAUAAGUGGCAGAUUGGAAAUGCAACCCAAGCUUUCUGACUACAAAGUCUCAAUUCUUUCCACAUCCUUUUAAGAAGUCUGGAGAUCCUUUUGUAAGCAGUGGAAAGAGUUAGUGAACAUUUUUGAGAAGGGGGAUGACAUAAACAAUAAUGUUUAAAAAGAUUAGUUUGAGUUCGCAUAUGAGAUGGUCUGGAAUGGACAGAGACAAGAACAUUAAUUAUUAAGCUAUUGUAAGAAUAGUAAUGAUGUAGACCUGAACAAAGAAAGUUUGGUGAUAAUAAGAUAAAAGAAACAAAUUAGAGGCAUUUGGAAACAGAAUUUACAGGAUUUAGCUUCUGCCUGCAUCUACCGUGAGAUAGGAGGACCAUGCCUAAAUAAUAAUGGAGGUGGGAACAAUGAUAGCUAAGAAGAGGUAGAUUUGGAUGGAGAGAAAGAAAUAGCCAUCCAAAUGGAUGUAUCCCGUGAGAGUUGGACAGCGGAGAUGUGGGAUCAUAUAGUAGGGCUAUGUAACAAGUCCCUCUAUAGCAGGGUUUGUUUAAGCUAGACUGUAAGUACCCAGAGCCAGUGAGGGUCUGGUUUAUUUCUGCAUCCCCAGAGCCAGGACAGUCCUUGGCACUCAGUAAAUAUUUGUUAACUUUGAAACUGGAUGAAGACCUUUAAGGAUGGUAGAAUUUUUUGAAAAAUGUUCAAAGACAGAAAGCAAAAAGAAGAAAAUAUUUGAGGAAAGAUUUGAUAGAAACCAAGAAGCAUUAUGUAAAGGAAGUCGUGGGGAGAGAGUUGCAAGAGUGUGAGAUGCCACAGAGAGGCAUUGUUGGAAGGGGAUCAAAGAUAGUGUUACUGAAGUAAAAUUCAGGAAGACAGAUCGGAAGUCAACAUGCAACGAACUGAAGAGGAAUGAGGGGGAGAACUAGAGCCAGGCAGCAGAGAGUACUCUUUCAAAAAGUUCGGUGGUAAAGGAAAAGGGAGCAAUGAGAAAACACCUUAAGGAAGAAGCAGGGUCAAGGAGGAAUUGCAAAGGCACGUGUAGCUCAAGGGAAAGGAGCCAGAGAAGAGAAGUAGAUUGAAAAUGAAAGCAAAAUGAAGCUCAAGGAAAUGGAGGAGGAUGAGAUUGAAAAGACACAGAUGGAGUGAUCAGGAUUAGGUAUAUAGAUCUGAGUAUGUUUCACAGAAAGGACAAGUUGAAGCCAAAUUAUAGUUAAAGCUGAUACAUUCCUGUGGGUCAGCUAUGCAACUAACUCAGAUUUUGAGCAAACAAAGCUCUCAAGUUGGUGAUCCUCAGGAGUCUCUGCAUUAGUUGGACAGCUCUUCUGGAAUUAUCUUCUAAGUCAACUGUGGGUUGGGUAGGUGGCUCUGCUGAUUUUUCGCUGGACUUCCACAUUUGGGACCAGUUGGCUGUCAUCAGCUCUAGAAAGGGUGUGGCUGUUUUACAUUGGCUGUUUUCCUCACAUUCCUCAAGCAGGUACUGUAAUAAAGAACUGGAGAAAUAAAGUCAGAUGGGAAGUAGCCCCUGCUGUCAAGGAGCUUGCCAUCUAAUGGGGGAGACAGGCAAGUAAACCAAAGACUACACAGUGCAGUAUGGUAAGUGCCAUGAUUUUGAUAUGACAGGGCACAGUGGAAGACCUUCCAAAUCAAAGCAAGUAAGUAGGGGUUGACAAUGGUAAGUAUCAUAGUUGAAGUAUCCUUGAACAAGGUUUCAGGAAGAAGAAUAAGGGAAUUUCAUGCAGGGAAACAGCCAAAGCUCAGUGAGUCAAAAUAUCACAGCAUUCUUGGUAAGCCCAAUUUUUUUUUCUGUUUUGCUAUUUUGGUGGAGAGAAAGGAACACAUAAAGGAAUAACAUGAGAGAAAGCUAUUUGGGGAAGUGUAGUAGUUAAGGUUCUGGUUGCAAACAACAACUCCAGCUAGUUAAGUUGACUUUAGUGGAAGGAUACUGGGGUAUCUCAUGGAAUCUUGGGAACUGUUGAAUAACCAGGGAAACUCUGGGAAACUCACUGGUAGGAAUCCAUAAACUGUCCUCCUGGUGGGCUGUAAACAACUCACCCUCUAUGUAUCUCACAUCAAAAUUCCAGUUUCUUGGGAAAACAAGUCUGUUUGCCCAAUUUGGGUCAUAUUUCCACCUCCAUGUUACUCAGGCAUGAUUCAUCUGCAAGUUAUGUGUAUAGAUAUUUUGCUACUGUUCCACCCUUGUGCUGUGCUGGGGAGGGAGGUGUCACUGUGAGCUGUGUGGCUGCCUUAAGAGAUAUCUGUUGUAGCUUAUUACUUGGUUGCCUUUCCCCACAUGUACAAUGACAAAAAUGCCUUCAACCUAUUUGAUCCAGCCGUUCCAGUACAACUCCUAUACUUGCCAUCUUUCCAAGCCCAAAGGUACAUCCAGCUGAUGGAAGGAGCAUCUUGGUGUUAAUAUUCUUUUAGUCAUGGUCUCUGAAAGUAAAAUGUCUGUUCUUCUAAUUCUGGCACAAUCUUAUCUAGCUAUAGUUCCUCAUGGUCCUGCACUCCAUGGACUAAAUUGUAAGUAUAAUUACUACCAAUGUACUCUAUAAAUAACUUUUGGGGCCAGGGUGGCAAUAGUUGCUACAGAAAAAAAAAAAAAAAAAAAGGAAGGAGAAGAAAACAGUGAUAGUUCUUAUUUUAAAAGGAAAAAAAGAGGCAGGAGGCUCUCUUGAGGCCAGGAGUUUAAGACCAGCUUAGGCAGCAUUUCUAGACCCUGUCUCUACUAAAAAGUAAAAAAAAAAUUUAGUCAGGCAUGGUGGCAUGCACUUGUAGUUGUAGCUACUCAGGAGACUGAGGUGGGAGGAUUGAUUGAGCCCAGGAGUUCGAGGCUGCAGUGAGCAAUCAUCAUGCCAUUGCGCUCCAGCCUGGGUAUCAGAGCAAGACCUUGUCUUUUAGGAAAAAAAGGCAGGGAGGAGGAAUAGGUAAUUUUUCAGUGUUCAGACAUUCCAGCAAUAUAUGUGGACUACUCAUUCUCACUACAGUUUAUGAGUCCGUAGCUAGUAUGUAUAACUACCCAUCCAAGUUUCCCUGCUUACAGUUAAUAUUCCAACUGAUUGGGGGGCUUUGCCUAAUAGAGUGAUUUAAGCCUUCAUUUUUAGACAUCUAAGCCCUUGGUGAUCAUCAGCAUAAAAUGUGACAAAUUAAACAAAAGCAAGACAGCAGAUCAGAGAACAACUCUGAGGUGGAAUGAUUGAGAACCAAUGAAUAGUUGUUCAGUAAAUGGUUUAUAUUUUACAGAUGAUGAAACUGAAACACAAAAAAUUUAGAUUAGCUCUUAGGUGACAAAGCCAGGAUUGAAGCUCAUGCGGUCUGGCUCCAGAACAACUCUUCUUCAUAGUUACAUUAUACUGCCCCUGCAUUGUUGGUAUUGAAAGUAAGUGUAGGCCCUGGGCCUUCUAUACCUAGGAUUAAGUCACAUAUUCCUAUUCCUCUUCGACUUUUACUAGCCUUGUGGGCAAGAAAAAGCUACUGAAUUUUUCUAAGCUCAGUCUUUUUCAUUUAUAAAAUAGAGAUAUCCUUUGUGGGCCGGUCGCCGUGGCUCACGCCUGUAAUCCCAGCACUUUGGGAGGCCGAGGUGGGUGGAUCAGGAGGUCAAGAGAUCGAGAUCAUCCUGACUAACACGGUGAAACGCCGUCUCUACUAAAAAUACAAAAAAUUAGCCGGGUGUGGUGGUGGACGCCUAUAGUCCCAGCUACUCGGGAGGCUGAGGCAGGAGAAUGGCGUGAACCUGGGAGGCGGAGCUUGCAGUGAGUCGAGAUCGAGCCACUGCACUCCAGCCUGGGCGACAGAGUGAGACUCCGUCUCCAAAAAAAAAUUAAAAAAAGAAAAAUAGAGAUACCCUUUGUGGAGGCAUGAUGCUUAUCAUGUGAUAAGCAGAUUUCUAAAAAUGGUGGUGGCUUUAAGCCUAGCACAUAAAGUUGGGAUUUUACAAGAAAAGUGGAGAGAAUUGAUCAAGAGAUUUUUGUGACAGAACAGGAAGUUAGAAGAAGGCGAAAUGAGAAAUGAUCUGUGAGAGACUUGAGGAGAUGAAGAGGUAGAUAUUCUCAAUACACUGUAGAAAGCAUGAUUAAGGGGAAGGAAGUGAGAAACGUUUUUUAAAAAUCAUCCUCAAGAGCUAAUUUGGAGAACAGUCACACUUUGUAAUAUGAGCCAAGAGAUAAAAUCAAAUUUGUCUCUCGGGAGGGGAAAAUAAGCCUCUUUUCAAGCUAAAUUCCCCUGCCACCUGGUUUGUUUUCUUCACUGUAAAUGAGCGCUGGGAAAAGAACAGGCUUUAGAGAUUCUGCCCAAGCAAUUCGCAGACCAUUUUCUUGGUAAUCACAUUGUAGCUCUUUUUUCAGUCAGGCUCACACAGGAUUUAAUGCUGUUUUUUGACAGCAAGUAUUAUUUUUGACGUCUAUCAAAUGCACCAAAAUAUGCCUGAAAUGUCUUAUUCGAACGUAUAUAUGGGAAGAAAAGUGAGUUACAUAUAUCUUUGAAAUGACCUAAUAUAAAAUUCUGCAGAUUUACCUUUAUGAGCUUGGUUAUGUAACUUGACCUAAGUCGUUGUUUUGGUUAAAACCCAUUUAUUCCUAAUGUUCCAUUAUUGGAAUGCUAAGCUUGUGGGAGUUAUUUAUAGCCUAUGCUCAAGGUCAUCGUCUGAUUUUUCACACAAAAAAAUUUGCAACCUCCGGCAUAAAUGGGUUAAGUCCAACAUUUACUACAAUGAGCUGGUACAUUGAUUAAGUGACCAAUUAUAGUAUUUUCAGGAACAUAUGAAGGCAAGUGGCAUGUGGUUAAAUUACAGGCAAAGUGAUUGAGAAAAUCACUGUUCCCAAAUAAAUACCAGUUUACCAUGACGGCAUUCACCAUCAAACCUGUCAUCUUUAUUAAAACUAAAAUUAGGGUUACUGUUUAUAUUUAGAACAGAAAUACGUAUCUUUGUGAUUUUCAUGUAUUUGGGAGAAAGGAACAACUUAAGCACAACUUAAACCUACACAGAUGCUUUUCUAUGUAUUGGGAGCUUUAAAGGAUAACAAAAUCGAUUUCUAUUUCUUUGGUAUAAUUAUAUUGAUUAUAUUGGAAAAACAUGAACCAAUACAUUUGGCUUUAAGAUCUACCAGCUGGUCACAUACAGGUACCCAUGUAUACAAAAUGUGUUUGAUCUUUUUUUUUUUUUUUUUUGAGAUGGAGUCUUGCUCUGUCACCCAGGCUGAAGUGCAAUGGUGCAAUCUCAGCUCACUGCAACCUGUGCCUCCCGGGUUCAGGCAAUUCUCCUGCCUCAGUCUCCUGAGUAGCUGGGAUUACAGGUGCGCACCACCACGCCCGGCUAAUUUUUGUAUUUUUAGUAGAGAUGGGUUUCACCAUGUUGGUAAGGCUGGUCUCGAACUCCUGACCUCGUGAUCUGCCCGUCUUGGCCUCCCAAAAUGCUGGGAUUACAGGUGUGAGCCACUGCGCCCGGCCUUGAUCAUUUUAAAUUCACAAAUAAUACUUAGCCCCUGAGUAAUUAUAAUAAAUAUAUAAUUAAUGCAUAUAUCACCCAUAGUUAAUUAGGAAUAUUUUAUUGGCUUAAUGAACAAAAUAUGAUCAUAAAAUAUAAGCCAUCAUAGCCCAGAUGUAUAGCAAUAAAAAAGCUUAGAUUAUCAUAUCUCACAAUACAAGUCUGCAUUAGCAAUGACACUGUUAUAAAAUAUUUAUAACACUUUCUGAUUUAAUUUUAAAGAGAGAUUCAUUCAGUACCUUUUUGGCGUUUGAAAUGAAACCUUAUUUUCCCUCCACACAAUAGCUGAUUAAAAACAGCUUUUGAAGAGGUCCCAGGCAACACACACAGAGCGAAAUGGUUAGAUACGUGGGGCAUCUUUGUAUUUUCACAUUAAAAUUCAAUGUUAUUCAGACCCAAGUAGAUAAUAAAAGUGGCAUUCAAGUUGGGAAUGGUAGCACAAGCCUGUAGUCUCAGCUACUCAGGAGGCUGAAAUGGGAGGAUCACUUGAGCUCAGGAGUUUGAGGUUUUAGUGCACUGUGAUUGCACUUGUGAAUAGCCACUGCACUUCAGCUUGAGUAACAUAGCAAGACCCCAUCUCUUUUUUUAAAAUGUUACAUUUAUAAUCAGUGAGGAAAAUAUAAAGUAUACAAUAAAUGAAGGGGUCAUUGGCCAAUUGUUUGGAGGGAAAAAAUACACCAUGUUCUAAAAUAAAUUUCUAGUGAUUUAUUGUGACUUUCAUGCAUUUGGAUGAUUUUAAAGAUUUUAUAUAAAAAUGAAACCAUAGCCUUACUAGAAGAAAAUAUAAAGAAAAACUUGUAUAGUCUUGGGAGGGGGGAUUAUAUUACGUGAAACAUUAAGUAAAAUAUUUAUUUUUUAAAUAUUAAAAAACUAAAAACUGUGCUUUAGAAGUCACCAAAAAAUUAAAGGGCAGGCUGGGCAUGGUGGAUCACACCUGUAAUCCCAGCUUUGGGAGGCUGAAAUGGGAGAAUCACUUGAGGCGGGGAAGUUCCAGACCAGCCUGUGCAAUAUAACAAGAUCCCCAUCGCUCCAAAAAAAAAAAAAGCCAGGCAUAAUGGCAUGUGCCUAUAGUCCUAGCCACUCAGGAGGCUGAGGUGGGAUGAUUGCUUGAGCCCAGGAGUUUGAGGCUGCAGUAAGCUAUGAUUGCACUAUUGCACUCUAGCCUGGGUAACAGAGUGAGAAUGAGACCCUGUCUCAGAAAAAAGAAAAAAAGAAAAAGAAAAAGGGCAAGUGCCAAAUGGAAAGAGAAAAAAAAAAGGACUAACAAUUAGGAA